GAGGUAUUAUCUUACUUAGCUAAGAAAAAGAUGCAUAACCAAUUCUUUUGGAAAUUGUGGGCAUAACAAUCAUAUCAAACAAAAACACAUUUUGUCACAAACCUAAUUCUUUUAACUUGUGUAUCGAGUGGUUAUUGUUUUCCUUCAAUAUUAAUUAAUUACCACAAAUAUAAUCAUAAAAUGUCAAAACACCUCAAAGUUAGAGCUGCUGAUCUCG
rnacentral:misc_RNA from 1 species